AGUGAACGCUGGCGGUAGGCCUAACACAUGCAAGUCGAACGGCAGCACAGUAAGAGCUUGCUCUUACGGGUGGCGAGUGGCGGACGGGUGAGGAAUACAUCGGAAUCUACUUUUUCGUGGGGGAUAACGUAGGGAAACUUACGCUAAUACCGCAUACGACCUACGGGUGAAAGCAGGGGAUCUUCGGACCUUGCGCGAUUGAAUGAGCCGAUGUCGGAUUAGCUAGUUGGCGGGGUAAAGGCCCACCAAGGCGACGAUCCGUAGCUGGUCUGAGAGGAUGAUCAGCAAAACUGGAACUGAGACACGGUCCAGACUCCUACGGGAGGCAGCAGUGGGGAAUAUUGGACAAUGGGCGCAAGCCUGAUCCAGCCAUACCGCGUGGGUGAAGAAGGCCUUCGGGUUGUAAAGCCCUUUUGUUGGGAAGAAAAGCAGCAGGUUAAUACCCCGCUGUUCUGACGGUACCCAAAGAAUAAGCACCGGCUAACUUCGUG
rnacentral:rRNA from 1 species